GAUGAACGCUGGCGGCGUGCCUAAUACAUGCAAGUCGAGCGAACAGACGAGGAGCUUGCUUCUCUGACGUUAGCGGCGGACGGGAUAGUAACACGUGGAUAACCUACCUAUAAGACUGGGAUAACUUCGGGAAACCGGAGCUAAUACCGGAUAAUAUAUUGAACCGCAUGGUUCAAUAGUGAAAGACGGUUUUGCUGUCACUUAUAGAUGGAUCCGCGCCGCAUUAGCUAGUUGGUAAGGUAACGGCUUACCAAGGCAACGAUGCGUAGCCGACCUGAGAGGGUGAUCGGCCACACUGGAACUGAGACACGGUCCAGACUCCUACGGGAGGCAGCAGUAGGGAAUCUUCCGCAAUGGGCGAAAGCCUGACGGAGCAACGCCGCGUGAGUGAUGAAGGUCUUCGGAUCGUAAAACUCUGUUAUUAGGAAAGAACAAAUGUGUAAGUAACUAUGCACGUCUUGACGGUACCUUAUCAGAAAGCCACGGCUAACUACGUG
rnacentral:rRNA from 1 species